UUGGGUGAGGAUAAGCCAUGCGAGUUGAAUGGGAUACCUAAAGUUCCCAUGGCAAACUGCUCAGUAACACAUGAUCAACUUACCCUAUAGAGAAAAAUAACCUCGGGAAACUGAGGAUAAUGUUUCAUAGUUGAAUUGGCUUGGAAAAGUUUUUCGACGAAAGGGGUAAAAAAAAUGGUUUUUAUCUGCUAUAGGAUAGGAUCGUGUUCGAUUAUGGUUGUUGGUGAGGUAAUGGCUCACCAAGCCGAUAAUCGAUAGGGGCCGUGAGAGCGGGAGCCCCGAGAUGGGUACUGAGACAACGACCCAGGCCUUACGAGGCGCAGCAGGCGCGAAACCUCCGCAAUACACGAAAGUGUGACGGGGUUACCCAAAGUGUUCAAUUUUGAACUGUGGUAGGUGAGUAAUGUUCCCUACUAGAAAGGAGAGGGCAAGGCUGGUGCCAGCCGCCGCGGUAAAACCAGCUCUUCAAGUGGUCGGGAUAAUUAUUGGGCUUAAAGUGUCCGUAGCCGGUUUAGUAAGUUCCUGGUAAAAUCGGGUAGCUUAACUAUCUAUAUGCUAGGAAUACUACUAUACUAGAGGGCGGGAGAGGUCUGAGGUACUACAGGGGUAGGGGUGAAAUCUUAUAAUCCUUGUUGGACCACCAGUGGCGAAGGCGUCAGACUGGAACGCACCUGACGGUGAGGGACGAAAGCCAGGGGAGCGAACCGGAUUAGAUACCCGGGUAGUCCUGGCCGUAAACGAUGCAUACUAGGUGAUGGCACGGCCAUGAGCCGUGUCAGUGCCGUAGGGAAACCGUUAAGUGUGCCGCCUGGGAAGUACGGUCGCAAGGCUAAAACUUAAAGGAAUUGGCGGGGGAGCACCACAAGGGGUGAAGCCUGCGGUUCAAUUGGAUUCAACGCCGGA
rnacentral:rRNA from 1 species